rnacentral:ncRNA from 2 species
CUCAAUAGAAUAAGUUUUGGUGCCUUGGGAUAUUAUACGUACCGAGGUUAAAAGGGAAAGCAGUGAGAAGCUGCUGCAGCCCCCGCUACUGUAUAUGGGGAUGAAAUCCAACUUAGCCAUUGGGAGACCGAGAAGGCUGGAGAGUAAGAUGAACCAUGAGCCAGGAAACCUGCCAAAUGCUAUGUUCAACC